rnacentral:rRNA from 1 species
AGAGUUUGAUCCUGGCUCAGGAUGAACGCUAGCGGCAGGCUUAACACAUGCAAGUCGAGGGGUAUUGGUUUUCGGACCAAGAGACCGGCGCACGGGUGCGUAACGCGUAUGCAAUCUACCUUUUACAGAGGGAUAGCCCAGAGAAAUUUGGAUUAAUACCUCAUAGUAUUACGACUCGGCAUCGAGAUGUAAUUAAAGUCACAACGGUAAAAGAUGAGCAUGCGUCCCAUUAGCUUGUUGGUAAGGUAACGGCUUACCAAGGCAACGAUGGGUAGGGGUCCUGAGAGGGAGAUCCCCCACACUGGUACUGAGACACGGACCAGACUCCUACGGGAGGCAGCAGUGAGGAAUAUUGGUCAAUGGGCGCAAGCCUGAACCAGCCAUGCCGCGUGCAGGAUGAAGCAUCUAUGGUGUGUAAACUGCUUUUGUACGAGAAGAAACACUCCUACGUGUGGGAGCUUGACGGUAUCGUAAGAAUAAGGACCGGCUAACUCCGUGCCAGCAGCCGCGGUAAUACGGAGGGUCCAAGCGUUAUCCGGAAUCAUUGGGUUUAAAGGGUCCGUAGGCGGUUUUGUAAGUCAGUGGUGAAAGCCCAUCGCUCAACGGUGGAACGGCCAUUGAUACUGCAAGACUUGAAUUAUUAGGAAGUAACUAGAAUAUGUAGUGUAGCGGUGAAAUGCUUAGAGAUUACAUGGAAUACCAAUUGCGAAGGCAGGUUACUACUAAUGGAUUGACGCUGAUGGACGAAAGCGUGGGUAGCGAACAGGAUUAGAUACCCUGGUAGUCCACGCCGUAAACGAUGGAUACUAGCUGUUGGAAGCAAUUUCAGUGGCUAAGCGAAAGUGAUAAGUAUCCCACCUGGGGAGUACGUUC